AAAAUUAUUAAAGUAUAUAGUUUAUAGGUGGGUAUCUGAACAGUGUUUAUAAGGAGAGCAAACUCAAGCAAAAACAUCAUUGGUGUACUCUAAGGUCUGAUUGAAAAAAUAUAUAUGAUUUGAGGUAGGAAUAUGAACAUAUUUCAAGCUAUUUAACCAUCAAUUGUAUGUAGGGGGCAGGGCAUGACCCCCAUGAUGAACUAGAAAGGCAAUUAAGAUUAAAUAUGG
rnacentral:lncRNA from 1 species